ACUAUUCCUAAAGUAAUUAAGAAUUAUAACUGCUGUGACAUAUGUGCCUCUGUAGGUGGCAGAGAGGACAGAGACUAUGCUCAGUGUUCUGACCUGAGAACAUCUGAGCGAUGAGUAGCCUAACAUU